rnacentral:rRNA from 1 species
GACGAAGGGGGCUAGCGUUGUUCGGAAUUACUGGGCGUAAAGCGCGUGUAGGCGGUUGUCCAAGUUGAAUGUGAAAGCCUUGAGCUCAACUCAAGAAAUGCAUUCAGGACUGGAUGACUAGAGGACCGGAGAGGAUAGUGGAAUUCCCAGUGUAGUGGUGAAAUACGUAGAGAUUGGGAAGAACACCAGUGGCGAAGGCGGCUAUCUGGACGGUUUCUGACGCUAAGACGCGAAAGCGUGGGGAGCAAACGGG